AGGAGUGCAGGUGGAAGGCAUUCCUUUGAAAAAGGACGAGACUGAUGUGAACCAAUCACAUGAUAGAUGGAGACUACUACCCAGCGGUAACCGUCAAGAAAGAUCGAAACUGCCCAUGGUACACCCUCGAACUUCAACUGCUUAAAUCUGCCUGCCGCAAACUCGAGGGAUGGAGCACAAGGAGGUUAAGUGACUUGCUCAGGUUC